rnacentral:rRNA from 1 species
GACGAACCGAGCGAACGUUAUUCGGAAUCACUGGGCUUAAAGGGCGCGUAGGCGGGCUGUCAAGUCUGGGGUGAAAUCCCGCGGCUCAACCGUGGAACUGCCUUAGAUACUGACGGCCUCGAGGAAGGUAGGGGCAUGCGGAACUGUAGGUGGAGCGGUGAAAUGCGUUGAUAUCUACAGGAACUCCGGUGGCGAAAGCGGCGUGCUGGACCUUUUCUGACGCUGAGGCGCGAAAGCUAGGGGAGCAAACGGG